GUAAGGAUGAGGAAACAUUAUUUAUGAAAUUGAAAUCCUUUUUCCAGUAUUACUUCAUGUGGUAAUAUUUUGGCCCAAACCUUUUCCUCUAGAAGGAAGGAAGUGGCUGCAACAUAAGAGUUUAUGGUCAUCCACUUUGUCCUGUUAAAUAUAGAGAAGACUUAAAUCCAUAUCUGUUCUUACCUAAAUGUUUAAAAAUUUGCAAAGACAUAAUUGGGAAAUGGGGGGGGGUGAUGACCAAGGUACAUUGUACU